rnacentral:tRNA from 1 species
GUGGGCGUAGCUCAAUGGCAGAGCACUCGGAUGUGGCCCGAGCGGUUGGGAGUUCGAAUCUCCUCGCUCACC